GCUCGACGGAUGGAUGCAUUUCCUUCGACCCGCGCUCCACAGGUACUGCCACAGAUUGGGACAAUGCCAGGUUCACAGCACAAACUGUUCAGUAGAGCUCCUUUCAGGGUUGAAAUCCUGCGGGAGCUCCAAUGAUUUAGAGAGGGGAAUCGCGCCAUCCAAAGCGGGGUUUGCUCCAAUCCCUACACUUCUUGCAGCUUGAUUGGCAUGUAUGGGAGGUGUGGCAGCCUGGUUGAGGCGAGGAGGUGUUUGACAGGAUGCCUUGCCACAAUGUAGAACGCUUUCAUCUUGGGACACGCAGAGAACUGGAAGCCUUCUCAUGCCAGGGCUCUGCACCUGGAUUCCCCUGCAUCUUCGCGGCCAUCAAGGCUUGCUCGGCUCUAGCGGCUGAGACUCAUUGGUGGGAAGAUGAUCAAACUGAAAGCUCUGGAACAAGGCAUGAGAAUCCCCUGCCGAGCUAAGUUUUGGAAGUGACGAGCCCGAGGUCUUCAAGCUCGGACAGCUACAGGAGGUUUAACGAGCUCUUGAGUAGCUGCCACAGCACCCAGACGCUCGUCUCUGGGAAGCUCACAAGCUACUUUUUGGUGUUUUUUGACACAACUACUUGCAACUUUGUAACUGUAUUCAUCUCUUUUCAAGGAAACCACAGGGUAGCUUUGUGUAGAUCCUCCGGUUUUGCCACUGCCAAAGUGUAAACUUCCAUCUAACGUUGUUCUCAUGGCAUUGCAAAAACAAAAAGAAGUUAGAGAAACCAUAAAGAAAACUAUAGAGAACAUAGACCUGGAAGGUUGAAGCCUCUAGCCCUUUUGGGCGUUGUCCAGUUCGUUGAACAUACAUUUUGGUUAGAAUAAACAGUUCACGAACCGAUGUCCGUUUCGUUGAACAGCAAACAGAACAAACAGUAUACGAGUGAGCGUCUUUCACGCUAUGAUCACUGUGCUUUCAUGGAGUUUUCAUGGUCAUUGAGGUUGGACCAUUGUCAUGUACGUCUUCAGCUGGAUUGAGGUUCUGAAGAUCGCAAGCGAC
rnacentral:lncRNA from 1 species